AUUGAACGCUGGCGGCAGGCCUAACACAUGCAAGUCGAGCGGUAACAGGGGUAGCUUGCUACCCGCUGACGAGCGGCGGACGGGUGAGUAAUGCCUAGGAAUCUGCCUAAUAGUGGGGAGUAGCCGGACGAAAGUACCGGCUUAAGUAUCCGCAUACGUCCUACGGGAGAAAGUGGGGAGUCUUCGUACCUCACGCUAUUAGAUGAGCCUAGGUUGGAUUAGCUAGUUGGUGAGGUAAUGGCUCACCAAGGCGACGAUCCAUAGCUGGUCUGAGAGGAUGAUCAGCCACACCGGAACUGAGACACGGUCCGGACUCCUACGGGAGGCAGCAGUGGGGAAUAUUGGACAAUGGGCGAAGCCUGAUCCAGCCAUGCCGCGUGUGUGAAGAAGGCCUCGGGUUGUAAAGCACUUUAAGCAGAGAAGAAAAGCUGCCGGCUAAUAUCCGGUAGUGUUGACGGUACCUGCAGAAUAAGCACCGGCUAAUUCCGUGCCAGCAGCCGCGGUAAUACGGAAGGUGCAAGCGUUAAUCGGAUUUACUGGGCGUAAAGCGUGCGUAGGUGGUUGUGUAAGUCGGAUGUG
rnacentral:rRNA from 1 species